UGUGUGUACACAUGUGUCUGUGUCUAUCAAAAUAUUGAUAGUGUGUGCAGGCAAUAAAAGCAAAUUAAAUCCCGAAAACUCUCUCUCCAUCUCUCUUCUGUAUCUCUGUCGCUGGAUUCUCUGUUCUGCUAACCAUUACACGCAUUGCCAAAUUAAGUGUAAAUAACUCGUUUGGAUAAACAAAUAGAUCAUAUGAACGGGAAAAAUGUUGAUGUGCUGCUGCCCAUAGCACAGACAGCACAGUUGCAUCUGGUUGACAGGCCUCCACCACUUCAGUCCACAAAAAGCAAACAAAACGAGAGCUGCCGUCACCGUCGCCGCCGCCGCCAGCCUGCACCACACAAAAGACAAUGGACAUAUUCCAAUGAUGUGAGAUAUUAGGACUAGGUUAGGCCUCUGGAUGCUGUUGCUGUGUGUAUGCCAUUUUUAAUGGACUUGGCAGCAGCCUGGUUGGCACAGUCGACGUGCCUAAUGAAGGAACAGUUAGGCGUUGCUGUUGCCACUGCCGAUUUUGGUCAUGGCUAGAGACACACCUGAGCAAUGUGCAAUCGAGAGACAGAGAGAUAGAGAGAGGACGCCCACACACUACAUCUACAUUGACGACGACGACGAUUGUUGCAUUAAUUGCAUGGCUCUAUUUACCUUAAUGCUAAAGUCCCAGAAACCAGAACUUAAAUAGCUCGACCAUUAAAUUCAUGUGCGUGAUUUUGGCCUUACUGCGUCUUCCCCUACUUGCUGGGGCCAAUAUUUCAAUUAUACAAGAAAAAACAAAA